rnacentral:rRNA from 1 species
GGGGAAUAUUGGACAAUGGGCGCAAGCCUGAUCCAGCCAUGCCGCGUGUGUGAAGAAGGCCUUUUGGUUGUAAAGCACUUUAAGCGAGGAGGAGGCUACUUGGAUUAAUACUCUAGGAUAGUGGACGUUACUCGCAGAAUAAGCACCGGCUAACUCUGUGCCAGCAGCCGCGGUAAUACAGAGGGUGCGAGCGUUAAUCGGAUUUACUGGGCGUAAAGCGUGCGUAGGCGGCUUUUUAAGUCGGAUGUGAAAUCCCUGAGCUUAACUUAGGAAUUGCAUUCGAUACUGGGAAGCUAGAGUAUGGGAGAGGAUGGUAGAAUUCCAGGUGUAGCGGUGAAAUGCGUAGAGAUCUGGAGGAAUACCGAUGGCGAAGGCAGCCAUCUGGCCUAAUACUGACGCUGAGGUACGAAAGCAUGGGGAGCAAAC